rnacentral:lncRNA from 1 species
CAGGGUCAUCCAGAUGGCUCAAUGGUUUGAAAGCCAGGCCUAGAAAAAGAAGGUCCUGGAUUCAAGUUUGACCUCAGAUACUUCCUAGCUGUGUGACCCUGGACAAGAUACUUAAUCCCCAUUGCCUAGUUCUAACACUCUUCUGCCUUGAAACCUAUAGCUAGUAUUGAUUCAAAGAUACAACAUAAGGAUUUAAAAAUAAUAAUAAUAAUAAUAAAAAUAAUCAUUGUCAGUAUCAACAACUAUUUGUGGAAGGCUAUACUAUAAGAAAAAUGCAAUGAAAAUAACUGAAAUUUGACUUCAAACCCUGGAAAUGGGAAAAGAUGACAAAAGAUAUAAAAAGUAUUAAAGGAUCUGUUAGAAGGUAGGCACACUAAUGCAUUCUGGGUAAAAUUGUGACUAGUCCAACUGUUUGAAAUGCAGUUUGGAAUUCUUCAAGAAAAGUCACCAGUCUUGAUAUCCUUUGACUCACGCAGGACGCUCAGUCUCCUCCUUGCUGCCUCUGGAAUAGUUAAUGACUCGUCUCAGCAAAAGCCCAUGGCAACUUCCUCUGCUUGCCCUAAGUGGACGGAAAGAGUCCGUCCUGGCUGCCAGCACCCUGCUCUUCAUUUUCCAAGUUCAGGUCAGAGGCCACAGUCCCUACCACUGUACUUUUCCAGCACAAGAGAUCAUUCAUAGCAGCAAAGCCACUGAGAAGUACAUGACUAAAGAAGAAACAAGUGGCCUCCAUGGCCCAAGUUCAAGAGUAUUCAAAUCCACGAAACGGGAUCUUCUGGCAGGGGGAAGCCUGAACCAAGUCUUAAGAAGGCUUUGUUGGAUUCUGAGCAACAGGGGCCAACCAAAAAUGUCAAAAGCUUUUCACCAUGGUAACAAGUUCAAUUUCCAUGGCGAUGAAGAAGAAGGGAAGACAACAGCCUAUUGGUUCUGAUUUUUCUUUUCUUUCUCUGUCCCUGGGCUCCCAUGAGGACUCCAGGUGUGGAAUAUUUCAUACACUAUCAGGCAUAAGUACUAUGUCAGUCUUGAUUUAAAAGCAUCAAUAAAGCUUUUUAAAGAAAAUCUUACCCUCUAGUU